AUAGAAUGAAAAAUCAAAUCGAAUUGAAAUUAUAGAAUAAUUGAAUUGAAUCCAAUCAAUUUAGUUUAAUUCAAUUUGAUUCAUUGAUUUUGAACAGAAAUCCACCAAGAAAAGGUUGUCAUUUCACUCUCCUCUCUACCUAACCAAUAGCCUAAUAUCCAACAGUGCCUACUGCCUUAUCCCAAUUUCCAAUACCAGAUUCCUGACAUAGUGCCACACAAUUUCAAGGGAAGCAAUGAAUCCCUUGAAUAUGUGCGAAGCUAAAGUGAAGGCACUCAUGUUGGAUUUACUCAAAAGAGGUUCAUAUAUUUUAGUUUCAGCAUUGUCUAUCACUAGUUUUGGAUUGUUAGUUUAUUGCAAUCCUGGUUGAUCAUUCGAUGGCCAUAAAAAGAAGAAGAAGCGAUAAAAGAAGAGAAACUAUAGAUCUGUGAGUAUAAGAAGAAGAAAAUGAAGAAGAAGAGGUAGAGAGCGAAGAAAAAGAACUAGGUGGCAGUCAG
rnacentral:misc_RNA from 1 species